UACAGAGGUCUCAAGCGUUGUUCGGAAUUACUGGGCGUAAAGCGCACGUAGGCGGCUUUUCAAGUCAGAGGUGAAAGCCCGGGGCUCAACCCCGGAAUUGCCUUUGAGACUGCAUCGCUAGAAUUGUGGAGAGGUGAGUGGAAUUCCGAGUGUAGAGGUGAAAUUCGUAGAUAUUCGGAAGAACACCAGUGGCGAAGGCGACUCACUGGACACAUAUUGACGCCGAGGUGCGAAAGCGUGGGGAGCAAACAGG
rnacentral:rRNA from 1 species